rnacentral:lncRNA from 1 species
CAAUGACUGGUGAGUGGAGUUGGGGAGGUGGAGUGAGAAUUAGGCCCCCUAUUCACAGGCUAGAACAACUCUACCCUAUUCUAAGAGAUACUGAAAUUAGACCACAGAAGAAAGAACUCUAUCAACAGAGAUAUUUUUAAUUUAAAAUUAAAAUAAAUACGUAAGAAAAUUUUCUCGACAUUUCUAUCACAAAUUAUUUUGGUGGAA